UCCCUGGUGGUCCAGUGGUUAAGAAUCUGCCUUGUAAGGCAGGGGACGCAGGUUCAAUCCCUGGUCAGGGAA
rnacentral:tRNA from 1 species